GCCCUAGUGGCGGAAUUGGUAGACGCGGCAGACUCAAAAUCUGUUAUUCGCAAGGAUGUGGGGGUUCAAGUCCCUCCUGGGGCACCA
rnacentral:tRNA from 1 species